UCCCUAUUCUUAGCGGGAACCAGCGCUUUCUUCAUCUGGUUUUUGGACUCGAAGAGCGCAGUGGUCUCCUUCCAAGCUGUCUUCAAUUUCAUAUCCAUAUCGGGGUGGAAUGCGGUCGACGUCAUCACCACGGAAGUAUACCCGGCCACUUUGAGGAGUACAGGAUACGGUUUCUUGAGUGCCAUCAGUCGCUUGGCCGCCGUUUUGGGAAAUUUGACCUUUGGCAGCUUCAUCGGAACGAGUAAAGCAGUACCCAUCCUUACUUCCGCUGCAGUUAUAUUGCUAGGCAGCAUUUGUUCCGUUAAGUUGCCGGAAACUAAAGAUGCACUCAUGUAAUCUCCGCUGGACCAAGUCCCUAACAUAUCAAUGGAAACUUCUAUCACUUCGCUCUAUAACUUCUCGAGUCGUACUUAAAAAAAAUAAUAGUAAUAAAAUAUAUCAAUAUUUUCGAGCAUCGAAUAACCAAAAGAAUAAACCGGGUACCAAACUUGUCGUGUACUGAAAAUAAUGGAGGAUUUCUAAAGAGAAAUUAACAAUAGUUUUAAGGAAGUUCCUGGCAAAAAUUCCUUAUAAAAUGUAUUUGUUAUAUAGCCUGUGACAUUUUCUAACCCCCGCAAGAUCGAGAGAUAAUAUUUAGUAUACAAACCGAGCAGCAAUUAAUGUUACAGAACACUUUAAAGAAAAAAAUCCGCUACGUUGCAAGAAACUACAGAUUUUUUCAUGAAAUUUUUUGUAAAAAUUAAAAAAAAUAUACAGUUACAAAAAAAAUUAGAUAUUUGUUUCGUAUCGAGGUGCUAGUUUAUAAACAUAGCAAUACAAAAUAUCCGUGAGAGAUUGUGAUUUUUAUGAAAGAAUUUGUAGAGGGGAAAGAGAAAAAGAGAAAUCGAAUUCGUGAUUGCCUUAAUUACUCGAUUAUUACGUUAAAAAUUAAAUAAAUAAAUAAGUAAAAACACAAAAAAAUUCAAAGUAAAUAUCUCGAAAUAUUGAUGCUUAGCUACGCUUGUUGUUAAUGACGAUGAUGAAGCUUUUGUUUGUGAUUAUCACGCAUCAUGUUAUCGAUAUUUUGGGAAAAAAGUGUUUUAGUUACUAGUCAAUAGAAGAUAUUCGUGUUUCGAAUGCUCAUUUAUAUAUUUUAUUAUCCAAUUAUAUCGUUCGUAUCAUAUUUAUUUGUGCGAUAAUCCACGUAUACGUCGAGUUGUCCCUUUAUGAUUUUUGGAAGAUCUGCAUCAUCACUCCACGGAAAAAAGGUAAAUUAUCUCGUUGCAAAUAUCUUCGCUAUCUUAACUUAAAAAUUCGCUAAUAUUUAUCAAAACAAACGGAAUUGCAUACUAGAAAUUCUGAAAAAAAGACAAUUUCGUUGGGUCAACAUGCGAAUUUCCUAGUUUCUGUUGGAAAUUACUCUGUAAAUUAGGAAAAAUAAAUUCGAAAAUCGAAAGUAUCGAUUUCUUUACAAAUAUAUAAAUAGCAGAGGUAAAUCCUCCUUAAAAAUUGAUUUAAAAUAUUGUUGUACAUAGAUAAAAAAAACAAACAGAUCUUCCAUAUUUUUGUUUUAUCCGUCGUAACCGUAUGAAAAUUAUAUUUUGUUUAAUUUCGUUUGAUAAACGUGAAGCACUUGGACAUGCGAUAUUGCUUUAAUAUAAAUUCCCUUAUCGGUCCAUCUAUAAAAGAAGAAAAAAAUUCUUGUAUAGAAAAUAUUUUGUGAUUAACAUUAUUGUAUAAUGUAGAAUGUGCCUUUUGAUAUGUCGAGUGUAUCGAGUUCUGUGUAUAUGUGUACAUUCAAUUAUCAGCAAAAAAAGAGAAAUUUUAUGCGAAAGACAGCACUAAUUAACGUGAGACAAGUCUCAAAUGUAUAGCGUUAAAAGCACAAUAAAUAAUUUAAAUUAAU